GGAUUAGAUACCCUGGUAGUCCACGCCGUAAACGAUGAGUGCUAGCCGUUUGUGAUUAAUCACAAGUGGUGCAGCUAACGCGUUAAGCACUCCGCCUGGGGAGUACGAUCGCAAGAUUAAAACUCAAAGGAAUUGACGGGGGCCCGCACAAGCGGUGGAGCAUGUGGUUUAAUUCGACGCAACGCGAAGAACCUUACCAGGUCUUGACAUCCUGACUAUGGUUGUUAGAAAUAACUUCCUUCAGUUCGGCUGGGUCAGUGACAGGUGCUGCAUGGCUGUCGUCAGCUCGUGCCG
rnacentral:rRNA from 1 species